rnacentral:rRNA from 1 species
UUACGGCCACAUCUCGUUGAAACAUCGGUUCCCGUACGAUCACCAAAGAUAAGCAACGUUGAACCUGGUCAGUACCUAGAUGGGUGACAGCUUAGGAAUACUAGGU